UAAAUCAUUUCCUUUUUCUUUUAUAUAUCUUUUCUUUUUAUUUUCUUCUCCUCUCCCACGCCGCUUCCCUCUCCCGAUUUCCCCGACCCCGUGUCCUAACCGAUGCGAUGCCAACGGUUCUGCCUUCCUCCAUUCACUCUCCGCCGCGCCGAUCUCAGAUCGCCAGCCACCCGAGCAGCGCCGUCGACCACCAAUGGCGUGAAGCAAGAUGCCGGCGUUGACAACCGACAGUCGGUCACCGCGAGCCCUCUCCUUCAGUCGCCGAGCAGAGCCGCUCCUUCUCUGCCCUAGUGCCGGCGCCACCGCCGGGCACCCAGUGCCCUAGCCUCUCGCCACCGGCCACUGCCGCCGUCGAUCCUAUGGAUCCUCGUGCCCUAGUUUUGCCAUGUUCUCAUUUUUCUUCCAUCAGAAGACAAGGCUUCCUUCAUCUUUGUGGUGGGACAUCGGGAUGUCGUCGAUCACCAUAAUGCUAGAUCUUAGCUGUUGAUGGCAAGUUAGUCGGCUAGCAACACCUCUCCAAUGAUCACGGCGGUGCUCUACUGCCUGCUGCCACUAUAGAGGGCAACUGUGUUGGAUGACGAUCGUCCAAUUUCCUUUCGGAUUUGAUAAGAGAUGCUUUACUUCAUCACAACUGCACUGGAACUAUCCACCGAGAUGUGUAAAUCUGAUUUGGACUUUAACACGAGACGAGCAUCUCGACGUUGGAUUUGAAUCGGAUUGGACCCUUCUGUUGGAGGUACCAGGUUGGUUUUGGUGUCGCUUGGAAUAUCCUGUCUGCUGGUCCCCACGUCACAU